rnacentral:rRNA from 1 species
UACGAAGGGGGCUAGCGUUGCUCGGAAUUACUGGGCGUAAAGCGCACGUAGGCGGCUUUCUAAGUCGGGGGUGAAAUCCUGGAGCUCAACUCCAGAACUGCCUUCGAUACUGGGAAGCUCGAGUCCGGAAGAGGUGAGUGGAACUCCGAGUGUAGAGGUGAAAUUCGUAGAUAUUCGGAAGAACACCAGUGGCGAAGGCGGCUCACUGGUCCGGUACUGACGCUGAGGUGCGAAAGCGUGGGGAGCAAACAGG